rnacentral:rRNA from 1 species
GGGGAAUAUUGGACAAUGGGCGCAAGCCUGAUCCAGCCAUGCCGCGUGGGUGAAGAAGGCCUUCGGGUUGUAAAGCCCUUUUGUUGGGAAAGAAAAGCAGCCGGCCAAUACCCGGUUGUUCUGACGGUACCCAAAGAAUAAGCACCGGCUAACUUCGUGCCAGCAGCCGCGGUAAUACGAAGGGUGCAAGCGUUACUCGGAAUUACUGGGCGUAAAGGGUGCGUAGGCGGCCUUGUAAGUCAGAUGUGAAAGGCUACGGCUCAACCGUAGUAAGCAUUUGAAACUGCAGGGCUUGAGUGCAGGAGAGGAGAGUGGAAUUCCUAGUGUAGCGGUGAAAUGCGUAGAUAUCAGGAGGAACAUCCGUGGCGAAGGCGACUGCCUGGGCCAACACUGACACUGAGGCACGAAAGCGUGGGGAGCAAACA